rnacentral:tRNA from 1 species
AGCAGCGUGGCUUAGUGGAAAGAGCAUGGGCUUGGGAGUCAGAGGACAUGGAUUCUAAUUCCAUCUCCGCCA